AGGGCACCACCAGGAGUGGAGCCUGCGGCUUAAUUUGACUCAACACGGGAGAACUCACCCGGCCCGGACACUGGAAGGAUUGACAGAUUGAGAGCUCUUUCUUGAUUCAGUGGGUGGUGGUGCAUGGCCGUUCUUAGUUGGUGGAGUGAUUUGUCUGGUUAAUUCCGAUAACGAACGAGACUCUAGCCUACUAAAUAGAUCGUCGGCUUACAAACGCCGGCGAGACUUCUUAGAGGGACAGGCGGUGAUUCAACCGCACGAAACAGAGCAAUAACAGGUCUGUGAUGCCCUUAGAUGUCCGGGGCCGCACGCGCGCUACACUGAAGUGAUCAGCGUGCUUUUUCAACCUACUCUGUCAAGAGUGGGGAACCCAAUGAACCUUCUUCGUGAUUGGGAUAGGGGAUUGUAAUUAUUCCCCUUGAACGAGGAAUUCCCAGUAAGCGCGAGUCAUAAGCUCGCGUUGAUUACGUCCCUGCCCUUUGUACACACCGCCCGUCGCUACUACCGAUUGAAUGUUUU
rnacentral:rRNA from 1 species